AGGACGGACAUCAGAGGGCUGAUGCCAGAGGGCUGACGUCAGAGGGCGGACGUCCGAGGGCGGGAGGAUUUACAAGAUCGAAGUCUAGAGGAUGGUCCCAACUUGGCCGCCGGGGUGUCUCGAGAGUCAGACGGGGCCCUGCCCCCUUCGACUCGGGGCUCUGUCAUCUCAGCUGGCGGAUGGGCUCCAUGUUCGAGGUGCAGCUCUCGCGUCCCCCCCCCCCCAAACCAGCCAAUGGAAAGGGAGAAGGAAACAAGCAGAGGCCCGGACGCCGGACGACUGGGGGUUCACUGCACGCCCGUCUCCCCUGCUCCUGGGAAGACCCUAGGACUGCCCCUGAGCAAUGGAAACUGUGACUUGAACUUGCAUUUUGUUGCGUAGUAGAGAGGUGCCGUUUGCUGGGUCUCCCGCGUUCCUCACGCGUGCUGGCUAGCUCGGAUCGCCGCGUGUGCUGCGGAUUUCACUAGUCUGUUUGCUGCUGGUCUUCCAGAAGUUUCGGAUUUCCGUGUGGUCCCCUCUAUCUGCUGUUUUGUCCGGGAAGCCUUUUCUUUUAGCAUCCGGCUUAAAAACCGAAUUCCUGAAGAUCAUAGACCCACUGUCUUCUAUUUGCUCCUAACACAUUUGUAAAGUUUCCCUGUUGAGGUCUUAAAGUGUUUGCAGUCCGUCCUUGGGAUAUUACACCUCCCCCGCCGCCAAAUGUACAGUCAUUUGUCAAAACAUAGUUUAUCCAACAAUUUAUCUUUCCUGCAUGGAUUUGGGAGUCAUGAAGGUCAUGUGACCGUGCCUGUGUGUGGCUCUAGGAGGCCUCCUUCCUGCUUUGCCGUUGUCAGCUAGUUCUUUGUGACUUUGUAAUUUAUUCUUCCGUGUGGAACUUGGAGUUCUGAUUCUGCUGGAGU